UGGCAACUAUUAACAUUACAAGGGUGAGUCUUGUGGGUGUGGAAAGGAAGGCCCCCUGUGGAGCUGAUUUCUUGGUUCAGCUUUGCAAGUGCAAGGAGGGUGAUCUGAAAAAGUCUGGGAGUGAUAGUUGGCCUAUAGGCUUGUAAAAGGUUGGCCAUAUUAUGCCUCAAACCCUAAGCUCAGUCAAAGUGAAACUUGUGUUAUAGUCUUGGUGAUAACAGUACUAUUCAGUCAAUGAGAACAGCAAGCAGUAAAAAAAAAAAAAAAAAGGAUGCUAGACAAUUGUGGAUAAUCUCAAACCCACAGUAGCCCUUCCCCAUCAUAUGCCUGCUCUGCAAGGUAGCUCAAAAUGAAUAUAUGACAAGUCUCAAAUGUUUUUUCCCACUCUACCUCUGUAGCAGGACAGGCAGAGACAGAAACAUUGUGAAAAAUGUCAUGGGGCUCACCCCUUCCUAUUAGAAUGUAAGCUCUCUGAGGCACAGAUUUCUUUUAUUCUCUUUGAUGUCUUCCAGAGCUGAAAACAUUUCCAGCCAAUAGUAGAUACUCAAUAAAUAAUUCUUGAACUUUUGGGGAAAAAAAAAAUGAGCAAGAUGCUCUUGUUUUAUGAUGCCUGUUCUCAACGACCAAUACCUUCUAGAAUUGAUCUACACCCCUAGUCCAGACUUUUGAGAGCAUCCUGGGUGCUAGGAAAGACUCCACUGUGAACCUAGGAUUCUGUUUGUGUCUGAGCCUGGUGCCCAAGACCUUAAUCCCCAGGGCAGCUCCUUAAUCUUCUCUUAACCAUGGGAGGCUGGGUUUUGAGGCCUGAAGCAGUAGCGUAAGACUUGAUAAACCAGCUAGGAAUAGGGGCAAGGCACCAGCAUGAGGACAUGAAGAGUUUCACCCUAGCUGCCCAAGGAUGCUUUUACCCAAGAGUCUUUUGAUUUCUCAUUGGAAUUUUCCCCUCUGAUCUCACUGAGAAGCUCAAAAAACAGGUACUAACCCAGUACAUAGAAAUUGGCAUGGGGAUUUACUUAACAGUCUUUGGAGAAGGGUUGAUGUUGUCUUAGGGUUUGCAAAGCAGCGUUCUCUCCCUAGUCCCCAAAACACACCUCACCAAAAUUGUGUGCAAUCACAGUUACCACUCAGUUUAGCAAAGCAAGAGCAAAUCUUGACUACCAAAGGCUCCAGGCCUCACAUGAGUCAUCAUUCAGCUCUGUGCAUACAGCCCAGAUGUAAUUCACACAGGCAUAUAGCUGUCGGCUAUGUUCUUGUACACAUAUGGACCUGCUUCCUGGAAUCAGAAAAAGCAGGCUUUACCUGUGACUUCUGCCAGGUUACCCUUCCCCAUCCCCCCCUGCCCCCCAAUAUGAAACCUGGCUGGAAGUAUUUCCUUGGUACUGUGAAGUUGGGCUAGGGAUUGGGAACCUAGCUGCUCACUUGCCAGGGUCACAGGUACACUGUGCUCAAUUGACUGAGCUUCUGCCUCAGCUUCUCUAUGAGGGUUCUUAAUCACAGAACCCAUUCCAAGCUCAUUCCAUUCAGCCCCUUGCCUCCUGGCAGCUCACUGCUAAAUAAUCCAAGAGAAACAUUUAGAUAUCUCCAUUACCAGAGAUCCCCAGAGAUAUUUUAUACAACAUACAAGCUUAUGGAAUCAUUUUACUGAUUUAUAUUUUUUCUCCCACAUAAACAAAAUUCCUCUUGGAAAAACUAAAUCUUAUUAUUCGCCACAGUUCUUUAGUCAGCAGUGAGUUCUAGGUCCAGCUCAGAGUUUCAGUUUUUCCCUUUUCUUUUUAGUCUGCUUCUCCAAGUACUUCAUCUCUGGGUAAGAGUGUCACACAUCUCUGAAUCCCCCUUGUCUCACAGACAAAAAGUUCACCUCUUUGUCCGACAUGUUUCUAUCAUGAUUGCUGCCCAAUUUUCUCAUCUCUGCUUGCUUCUGCCCCCACAUCAGUGGCAUCCAUCAUAAAGCCUAGUGCUUCUGAAUUUUUUCUUUCUUCACACAUCUUCCCCUCAGGGCAAGCUUUCUCUCUUUUGCCUACGAAUGUUUUGGUUAGUCAGUGCAUGCCACAGUGUACUUUCAUUCCCUCCUCCUGUAUUAAUGGGCAUCACUUAGGUUGCUUCCAUAUCUUGACUAUUGUAAAUAAUGCUGCUAUGAACGUUGAGGUGGUUAUAUCUUUUUGAAUUAGUGUUUUCAUUUUUUUCAGAUAUAUACUCAGGAGUGGAAUUGCUGGGUAAUAAGGUAGUUCUAUUUCUAGUUUUUUGAGGAAACUCCAUACUAUUUUCCAUAGUGGCUGCACCGAUUUAUACUCCCACCAACAGUUUACAAAUGUUCCCUUUCCUCCACAUCCUCGCCAGCAUUUGUGGCCUGUAGCCCCCCUUCACCGCAACUAGAGAAAGCCUGAGCACAGCAACAAAGACCCAAUGCAGCCAAAGAUAAAUAAAGAAAUAAGUAUUUAAAAACAACAACAACAACCACAUGGUACUGGCACAAAAACACACAUGUAGAUCAAUGGAACAGAAAAAAACGCAUGCACCUAUGGUCAAUUAAUCUACGACAAAGGAGGCAAGGAUGUACAAUGGAGAAAAGACAGUCUCUUCAACAAAUGGUGAUGGGAAAACUGGACAGCCACAUGUAAAACAAUGAAAUUAGAACAUUUCCUCACACCAUAUACAAAAAUAAACUCAAAAUGGAUUAGAGACCUAAAUGUAAGACCGGACACUAUAAAACUCUUAGAGGAAAAUGUAGGAAGAACACUCUUUGACAUAAAUCACAGCAAGAUCUUUUUUGGUCCACCUCCUAGAGUAAUGGAACUAAAAACAAAAAUAAACAAAUGGGACCUAAUGAAACUUAAAAGCUUUUGUAAAGCAAAGGAAACUACAAAGAAGAUGAAAAGACAACCCUCAGAAUGGGAGAAAAUAUUUGCAAAUGAAUCAAUGGACAAAGGAUUAAUCUCCAAAAUAUAUAAACAGCUCAAGCAGCUCAAUAUUAAAAAAACAAACAACUCAAUCCAAAAAUGGGCAGAAGACCUAAAUAGGCAUUUCUCCAAAGAAGACAUACAGAUGGCCAAGCAGCACAUGAAAAGCUGCUCAACAUCACUAAUUAUUAGAGAAAUGCAAAUCAAAACUACAAUGAGGUAUCACCUCACACCAGUUAGAAUGGACAUCAUCAGAAAAUCUGCAAACAACAAAAGCUGGAGAGGGUGAGGAGAAAAGGGAACCCUCUUGCACUGUUGGUAGGAAUGUAAAUUGAUACAGCCACUAUGGAAGACAGUAUGGUGGUUGCUUAAAAAACUAAAAAUAAGGACAUCCCCGGUAGCGCAGUGGUUAAGAAUCAGCCUGCCAAUGCAGGGGACAAGGGUUCAAGCCCUGGUCAGAUCCCACAUGCUGUGAAGCAACUAAGCCCAUGCGCCACAACUACUAAGCCCGCGCUCUAGAGCCCUAAGCCACAACUACUGAAGCCCACAUGCCUAGAGCCUGUGCUCCACAACAAGAGAAGCCACCACGAUGAGAAGCCCACGUACUGCAACGAUGAGUAGCCCCCGCUUGCCGCAACUAGAGAAAGCCCACGCGCAGCAACAAAGACCCAACGCAGCCAAAAGAAACCUAAAAAUAGAAUUACCAUAUGACCCAGCAAUCCCACUACUGGGCAUAUACCCAGAGAAAACCAUAAUUCAAAAAGACAUAUGCACCCCAAUGUUCAUUGCAGCACUACUUACAAUAGCCAGGUCAUGGAAGCAACCUACAUGCCCAUCGACAGACGAAUGGAUAAAGAAGUUGUGGUACAUAUAUACAAUGGAAUAUUACUCAGCCAUAAAAAGGAACGAAAUUGGGCCAUUUGUAGAGACGUGGAUGGAUCUAGAGACUGUCAUACAGAGUGAAGUAAGUCAGAAAGAGAAAAACAUAUUAUAUAUUAACGCAUAUAUGUGGAACCUAGAAAAAUGGUACAGAUGAACCAGUUUGCAGAGCAUAAAUAGAGACACAGAUGUAGAGAACAAACGUAUGGACACCAAAGGGGGAUAGUGGUGGGAGGGGUGGUGGUGGUGGGAUGAAUUGGGAGACUGUGAUUGACAUGUAUUCACUGAUGUGUGUAAAAUGGAUAACUAAUAAGAACCUGCUGUAUAAAAAAUAAAUAAAAAUUAAAAAAAAUAAGAGUAGGAAAAAAAAUAAAGAAAUCAGAACAUUUCCUCACACCAUAUACAAAAAUAAACUCAAAAUGGAUUAAAGAUCUAAGUGUAAGACCUGAAACCAUAAAACUCCUAGAAGAAAACGUAGGCAGAACACUUUUUGACAUAAGUCAUAGCAAUAUUUUUUUUGGCUCUAUCUCCUAAGGCAAAAGAAAUAAGAGCAAAAACACAGUUUCCAUUUUAAAGAACCAGAUAUUUCAGAAAGGACUGGUCCUGGAGGCAGUGUGGUAUUCCAAUGCCCAUGGUAUGGCUGAAGCUCCGGGGACAAAAUGGAGACCACCCCACCCUUCUAAGGGCACAGCUGCCUCUCAGCACCAGUCCUGUUUCCAGGAAAGGCUGUGGACCCAGUUUUGACAGAUCUUCCAAUUUUUCAAGAGAAGCUAUAAAACAUAAUUUGAUAUAAAAUCUUUUUAUUUUUAAAUAUUAGCAACUUUUUUUUUUUUGGCCACACCGCGUGGCUUGCAGGACCUUAGUUCCCUGACGGGGGAUUGAACUCGGGCCAUGGCAGUGAAAGCACUGAGUCCUAACCACUGGACCUCCAGGGAAUUCCCAUUAGCAACUAAUUUAAACACUGCAUAGACCAAAUAUAUCUGGUGGUUCCAUGGCUUUGAACUCUUUUAUGAUUACAUAUUAAAAUUUUCUGUAUAUAAUUGGUUCUAUUGUUUGCCUUAAAGACCUUUGCGAUUCUUUUUGCCACAUCCUCAUCAAAAUUCCCCCUUGUACUUUCUAAUAUGUCCUAUCAUCACAAGUACACUCUGUUCCCACUGUCUUAAAUCCCAGGCAGAUGGAAGAUACAACACCUGCCAAUUCUUGUCUUUCCUGCUUUGUUUCGUUAAACCCUAAAAUCAGCAUAUUGUUAAACAACUUCACAUAUAUCAGUCCCAGGUCUUUCCCUAAGGCUGAUAAGAUUUGAUAAAACUAGUUUAGCUGCACCCUAUGUUAUACUACAAAGGCCUCAGAGUAUUUGUCUCCCCCAAGCCCCGGUAAUUAAACAUUUGUCCUUUAUGAAUCUUGGGAUUUAUAGGACUUAUGCUUUUUUCUUUUUAAUUAAUUUAUUUAUUUUUGACUGCAUUAGGUCUUCGUUGCUGCGUUAGGUCUUCAUUGUGGCCCGCAGACUUUCUCUAGUUGCGGUGAGCGGGGACUACUCUUCGUUGCAGUACGCGUGCUUCUCAUUGGGGUGGCUUCUCUUGUUGCGGAGCACGGGCUAUAGGCGUGUGGGCUUCAGUAGUUGUGGCGUGCAGGCUUCAGUAGUUGUGGCACACGGGCUCUAGAGUGCAGGCUCAGUAGUUGAGGUGCAUGGGCUUAGUUGUUCCGCGGUGUGUGGGAUUUUCCCAGACCAGGGAUCAAACCUGUGUCCCCUGCAUUGGCAGGCAGAUUCUUAACCACUGCGCCACUAGGGGAGUCCCCUUAUACUUUUUUUUAAUUUUUAUUUUAUAUUGAAGUAUAGUUGAUUUCCAAUGUUGUGUUAGUUUCAGGUGUACAGCAAAGUGAUUCAGUUAUACAUAUAAAUAUAUCUAUUCUUUUUCAGAUUCUUUUCCCAUAUAGGUUAUUACAGAGUAUUGAGUAGAGUUUCCUGUGCUAUACAGUAGGUCCUUGUUGAUUAUCUAUUUUAUAUACAGUAGUGUGUAUAUGUUAAUGACAACCUCCUAAUUUAUCCCUCCCCCGUCACCUUUCCCCUUUGGUAACCAUAAUUUUGUUUUCUAAGUCUGAGGACUGAUGCUUUUUACACUGUGGCAGUGUUGUUUCACUGAAAGCUCUUCUUUCCCUGACAGAAAAUGUUCAUGGUUUCUUCAUGUAUUUACUUUUUACUUUUUUUUUUUUUUUUGCGGUACGCGGGCCUCUCACUGUCAUGGCCUCUCCCGUUGCGGAGCACAGGCUCCGGACGCGCAAGCUCAGCGGCCAUGGCUCACGGGCCCAGCCGCUCCGCGGCACGUGGGAUCUUCCCGGACCGGGGCACGAACCCGUGUCCCCUGCAUUGGCAGGCAGACUCCCAACCACUGUGCCACCAGGGAAGCCCUUUUUACUAUUUUUUUUAAAAAUUGUGGUAAAAUAUGUAUAUCCUCAGUUUUGUCAUUUUAAAUAUUUUUAUGUGUACAGUUCAGUGGCAUUAAGUGUAUUCACAAUGUUGUGCAACCAUCACCACUAUCUGUUUCCAAAAUUUUUCAUCUCUCCAAAAAGAAAUUCUGUACCCAUUAAACAGUAAUUCCCUUUCCCUACUCCCCCAGCCCCUGGUAACUUCUAAUCUACUUUCUGUCUCUAUGAAUUUGCCUAUUCUAGUUAUUUCAUAUAAGUGAAAUCAUACAAUAUAUGUUAUUUUGUGUCUGGCUUAUUUCACUUAGUAUAAUGUUUUCAAGGUUCACCAAUACUGUGGCAUGUGUCAGAAGUUCAUUCGUUUUUAUGGCUGUAAGAUAUUUAAUUGUAUAUCACAUUAAAUGUAUAUAUCACAUUUUGUUAAUCCAUUCGUUUGUUAAUGAACAUUUGGAUUGUUUCUACGUUUUGACAAUUGUGAAUAAUGCUGCUAUGAACAUUGGCACUGAGUCCCUGAUUUCAAUUCUUAUGGGUUUAUACUUAGGAAUGGAAUUACUGGGCCAUAUGAUACUUCUAUGUUUAACUUUUCAAGGAAUCGCCAAACUGUUUUCCACAGCAGCUGUACCAUUUUACAUUCCCAGCAAUACAUGAGGUUUCCACUCUCUCCACAUCUUCCCUGACAUUUAUUUUUUAUAAUUUUUUUUGUUUUUCGGUACGCGGGCCUCUCACUGCUGUGACCUCUCCCGUUGCGGAGCACAGGCUCCGGACGCGCAGGCUCAGCGGCCAUGGCUCACGGGCCCAGCCGCUCCGCGGCAUGUGGGAUCUUCCCAGACCGGGGCAUGAACCCAUGUCCCCUGCAUCAGCAGGCGGACUCUCAACCACUGCGCCACCAGGGAAGCCCUAUUUUUUUUAAUUUUAUUGUAGCUCUUCUAAUGGGUGUAAAGUGAUAUCUCAUUGACAUUUUGAUUUGUAUUUCUUGAUGGCUAAUGAUGUUGAGCAUCUUUUCAUAUGUUUAUUGGUCAUUUGUCUAUCUUCUUUGUAGAAAUGUCUAUUCAAGUCCUUUGAUCAUUUUAAAAUCGGGUUGUUUGUUUGUGGUUUAUUUUGAACUUAAGGGUUUUGAAGGCCUCACCGCUGUAGGUCACAGGCAGUCAGUCUGCACUUUGAAGAGUUUAUUUACAACCUAGAGUUACUCGCAACCUAAGAAGAUAGACUCUGGUAUCAAGGUUUGUCCAUUUUUAAAUUCGGGGCUCACUGGAGGAACUGAUCGCUCAGCCAUAGAGUUUGUCCCUCUGGUCCUAUCAUAUCAUAAGAUAGAUGAACCAAAAGUAAAAUUAAAAUAAAAACAAACAGGGAAUUCCCUGGUGGUCCAGUGGUUAGGACUCUGCUUACACUGCCGGGGGCCCGGGUUCAAUCCCUGGUCGGGGAACUAAGAUCCUGCAAGCAGCAUGGCAUGGCCAAUAAAUAAAUAAAUAAAUAAAAAUAAAAUAUAAAAGCAGACAGAAGCAGAGGAUAGGAUUUGAAAUUAGUCUAUUUUACUGUUCCUCAUUCAUCAGUUUAACAAAUAUUUCUUGAGAACUUUAUAAGCAACAGGCACUGUGCUAGGUACUGGGGGUACAGUGGUCAGUGACACAGAUGUGGGUCAUGUGGGAGGCAGGAUAAUCGUCCCCAAAGCUGUCCACAUCCUAAUCCUGGAACCUGUGAAAUAUGUCACCUUACAUGGCAAAAGGGACUUUGCAGAUGUGAUUAAGUUAAGGAUUUUGAGGUGGAGAGGUUAUUCUGAAUUAUCUUGGUGGGCCCAGUGUAAUUAUAAGUGUCCUUAGAAGAGAGAGGCAGGAGGAUCAGAGUGGGAGAAGAUGGAAGCAGAGUUAGAGAUUCGAAGACACAAUGCUGCUGGCUUUGAAGGUGGAAGAAGAGGCCAUGAGCCAAGGAAUGCAAGGUCGCUUAUCAAAGCUGGAAAAGGCAAGGAAGCACAUUCUCCCAGAGCCCCUGGAAGGAAUGCAGUCCUGCCAACCCCUUGACUUUAGGACUUCUGACUUCUAGAACUGUAAGAUAAUGGAUUUGCCUUUUUCUAGGCACUAAGUUUGUGAUAAUUUGUUAUAGCAGCAGUAGGAAGCUGACACAGUUCCUCAUCCCCCCCCCCCAUACAGGACACUGAGGUGUGGUGGGCAGCAAUCAGCACACCUGGGUCUGACUCGUGUCAGUGUCUAGUAGCCGUGUGACUUGGGGGAAAGUUCCUUUAUCACACUGAGACUCAUUUUCCAUGUCUAUAAAAUGGGGAUAGCAAUGUCUGCCUCACAAAGUUGUUGUAAGAAGUAGAGAUAAGUUAUGUAAAACAGUGGGCAUUUAGUAGGCUCUUAGUAAGCGGAAGCUAUUAUUUUUGCCAUCACUGUUUAUUUUCUUUUAAAUGCUUUCCUUUUUUUUUUUUUUUUUUUUUGCGCUACGUGGGCCUCUCACUGCUGUGGCCUCUCCUGUUGCGGAGUACAGGCUCCGGACGCGCAGUCUCAGCGGCCAUGGCUCACGGGCCCAGCCGCUCCGCGGCAUGUGGGAUCUUCCCAGACUGGGGCACGAACCCGUGUCCCCUGCAUCGGCAGGCGGACUCUUAACCACUGUGCCACCAGGGAAGCCCCAAAUGCUUUCCUUUAAUUAGGGAAGAAGAUGGGAAAUCAAAGACAUGGACCUUAUUUAGAAUUAGGAUGUUGGAAGGGGAAGGGAUUACAAAAUGCUUACGUGGGGGUAAUUAGGCGAGAUUCUCUUCUAGGGAGCAAGGCAGUGGCCCCAGCUGCCCUUCCUGCUCACUUUUCCUCUCUCUUAGUGACACUAUCCUGCUGCUCUGCCUCCAGGUAUCAUACACAAGGAUUCUCUUCAUCCCUUUUUUUUUUUUUUACUGCCAUCAAACCCUGCUUCCUUUUCUCCAUCUAAACCCACCCACAAGGCAGGCCCUUGUUUUGUUUAUCCUUCUCAGUCAUGAUUCAGGUCAUUUUGGUUAUAUUUGUUCAUAUUUGGUCAUGUUUGCUUUCUUUAUGCCAUGUUGAUACACAGUCCAGAUUGAUCUCCAGUCCUUGGUCAUAAAUUGUAAUGAGUGUGUCUUCCUUCUCAUAAAGGACAGGCUCCAGCAGCCAGUUCUGCACUGGGUAUCUCAUUUUCUCUGCCUAUAGUAGCUCAUUGGCCAGGAUGGACACCUUACCCAAGCCAGGAAUUAGAAUUUGUGAUCUAAUCAGCCCUGACUCAGAACUAAUUGGAACCAUAUCUAUCAAUUACUCUCUCAGGAGAGUGGUAACAGCUAUAUAACACCAGGGGAGGGGGAGGGGAGGAAAGAAGAGCUCAACAGACAUGCAAGAUGGCCCAAUGCCUCUGCAGUUUCGUCUUCUACAGCUUUACUGUAUUUCUGUCUUCAGAUUCCAUAAGAAAGGACUAUACAUAUCCUUAUACAUUAUACAUAGUGUACAUGCAUAGAAUAUACAUAUACAUAAAUAUGCAUAUCCAUGAACAUGUAUAUAGCAUAUACAAAUACAUAUUGAAAUAAAUUUCUGGGCCACUCCUUCCCAGGGUACCAUGUCAGCAAAUGGAAAUUUAGAUAACUUUCAUGGCCCCGUAAAUGCUCCAUGUGAUCAGAUGCAGCAUAUCCAGUCAGCCAACCCCCAAGUGCCAAUCCAGCUCUGGGCUCUAUACUUAUUUCCUUCUUCCUUCUCACCCCGAACAAGGUUGACUGUGUGGCCCCAGUUCAUCAGAUAUUUUCUAUUUUUCUCUUCUUUGUUCUUUAUCCUAUGAAAGUUAUCUGCCUUCUGCCCCGUUUUGCAGUUCUCUGGACCCUUGGGAAUGGAGGCUGCCUGCUUCAUGAAGUGUUAAAUAAGGUUUGUUUGUAUCACCUAAAUUGUCUUCUUUAAUCAUUUUUAAUAUAUAUUUCUCACUUUUCCCUUCAGCCAACUUUAAAUGAAUUCUGUUAUGGCAACCAAAGUGUUUCAGCUAAUUUAAAAGUAAAGAUCUUUGGGGACAGUGAGCCCUAGAAUUAAUCCUAGAGGAAAACCAUGUAUAAAUGCUGCCAUACAUCCUCAUCUUAUUUUAUUGCUGAGACAGAAGCCUAAAAACUUUAAUGGCCAAUGUCCUCCAUCAUCAAAUGCCUUCAUCCAAGAGAAAGUCUUUGGAAAACCACACAAUGCAGUCAUUACCAACAUCGAACACUGAUAAAAGCAUUUUAUCGCUUCUUGAAAUGUAUAAAGAGAUAAGAUGAGUUCAGGAUGUCCACAGCCCUGGCCAACUGAUCUCAAUUUCUCUGUGUGUGGAAAAAAAAGAAGCAAUAAAAAUGACGCAUUCAAAGUUUCCUUCUUUCUUUCUUUCCCUUCCUCCCUUCCUUCUUUCUUUCCUUCUUUCCUUCUUUCUUUCUUUCUCUAUUCUUUCAGGCCCAAGUUAGCCUGAAAAGAGGCACUUUUGAACGAAGAUCCUCUCCAUGGGUGCAGACAUUAAUGUUUCGAAUACCUUGUAGGUUUGAUUUUUCACACUAAGCUAACUCACCAAACCAGGCAAGUCCUACCAUGUGUUUGUGCAGCCAAUACCCCCUGUAGGAAAGAUCCAAAGAUUGAGUGGGAAUAUGCUGAAUGCCUGCCUUGGGCCAGGCAUCUGACUUCUAUUCAUUCCUCACAGUUAUCCAGUGAGGAGGGUGGUGUUUUUUCCCAUAUUACAGGUAGAGAGCUGAGGUUCAGGGUGGUCAAGUAAUCUGUUCAGGAUCUCACAGAUAAAAUGUGGUGAAUUCCAUCUCAGUCUAGGGCCUGCAAAAUUUUUUUUAAUAUAUAUGUAUUUAUUUAUUUGAUUGCAUCAGGUCCUAGUUGUGGCAGGUCUGCAAUUCUUAGUAUACCAAGCACAACUUGAGAAGGACCUCAUUCCCAGGAAAAGAGUUGUAGAGUUUUCCCACUAGGUCUGGAACAGAGCUCACGCUAUUUAGCCUGUGUCAGGAAAGUACUCUGAACAUAUAUCCAAUGGACUUCCUAUGGUUCUGUUGCUAUGGAUUCUAGGUGUUAACCUAAAACAAUAAAACUGCUGGUUAUUUUACCAGCAAAACAAGUUUAUUCAGGAACAGCAAAGAAUUGCAAUUUGGGAAAUGCAACUAUGGUGAACCACAUGUAAGUCUUGUAAAGCGAAGGAGAGGAAACUCUUUUAUAGAGGAGAAGGGAAGUUGAGAGGGACUAUUAAAAACAAAAAGCCCAUUGGAAGAAACUUGGUGUUCUAAGUAUAGUGGCUUUUCAUUGGCUGACUUGUUGCCAUGCAAGGAGAAAAUCUUCCUCCUAAUGGUGGUACUAAAGUAGUGUAACUUCCUGCCUGAGAUGCAAGGUACGUCUCUUCCUGUUAGGAUCUGUGUUGAUGUCGAGUGGAACAUGCACAAGAGCUCCCCUUUCUGGCCUCCCAACUCCAUUUUAUUGAGGUUCCCCUUUAUUAAUUCUCACAAGGGUUCUACUUUCAGAGCUUAUUAUAACUGCCUUCUUUAGUGGUCAGUGAGAGCGUGAAGGGUUAGAUGGACAAGGCCUUGGGCUGGGGAGCAACCCAGUGUGGGGUUCUCAUCUCUGCUUCUGAUUCCUGUGCCUUUGAUUCCAAGUCCAUAACAAGGAAAUAAUAAUUCUUGUCCAUUCUGCCUCACAAAGGACAAAGAAGAAGAGAAGUCACUGCCAAGAGUGAGCCCACCAGUGGGCCAACACACUGAGGUCCAAUGUCCAAGGUCCCCUCUCACCCUUAGCAAGAUCCCUGUGAUGGCAGAAAAAAACGUGGCAGAUUAGAAAACUCAAGCAGAUGCCUCCUCUAAUGUCUAUGUGCUUCUCCUAGCCCUACAUACUAUAAGAGCUGCCCUUCCCUGGGGCAGGGGAGGGACCUAGCAAGACAAGCAAAAAUGUCCAAGCCUUAUCUAGGUCACCUUGAAGCAAGACAAGCAACUGUAUUUCCUUGAACACAGAAUAAAAGGACAGGGAUGAGAUUAAGUAGCAGGGAAAAAUUAAUUGCUCCCCUCCCCUGUGGCCUCCCAUAAAUGCUAUUAUAGCACUUAUAACUAUCUAUCUUAUUGUUUAUUUUCAUGCCUGUCUCCCUCUGAUAGUGAGCAACUUGUAGUCAGGGAUCUUUUCAUGUUACACAAGAAAAAUGUGAAUGCAUUUUCUGUGUUAAAUAAAAAUAAAAACAUUAUAGAGAAGCCUGAGGUCCUCUUUGACCCUCUUUUUGUUUAGCAUCCCCAAUCCCAGUCCUCUCCUGGGGAGUAACCUUACUUAGCAGGAUGAGUGUAGGUAUUUUUCUAUGUAUUUCACCGAAUGAGUGACAUACACAUAUGUAGCUUACACAAGUUCAAUUUCAGCCAAAACAGAACAAAACAAAUAAAACUCUGAGAGAGACAUUGUGAUUUAACUAGUACCAUUCCACACACUGAGUCAAUGGCCUGGAGAAGUGUGGGAUGAAUGACAGAAUCCCUCAGUUAAACUCAGGUCCCUCAGCUGUCCUGGUGCUUCUCAUAGUGUGACCAUUUCACCACCCUUGGGGAUGAUUUUAAAUAUUUUCAAGGGUAUUUCUGAUAAUACUUGAUUUUUGCCUUAGACAUUAACUUUUGGACCCAAUCCCUAUAAGAGUUGUACUACAUACACCCACGCGGGCUCCGUGACAUACCAUGGUGCCCAGUGCAAAAUCUGUAAUACAGCCAUAAAGUUAAUUCCUCUAUCGGGACCCACAAAAUGGAGGCAGCCCAGUGCCCGCCCCACCCCCACCCCACCCCCUCACCGCCAAAUCUAAACCUAAGUCAGCAGCACUUACGGGAAAUGCCUCACUGUCAAGGAAGCCUAACACCAAUCUCAGUCCUCCAGCUCAGCUUUAGCUGGUUUACCUGACCCUAGAAAAUAGGGCCUCCUAGCCAGUCAUGCCCUGUUUCGUGUUGCCACUUCUAAUGCAAAACUUGCUCUUGCCCAAAAUCCCUGGGAAGAGCAGUCCACUGCUGGUGAGGCCCUGUACUUCCCCAGUCCAUGCUUUCCCUGGAAUAAAGAGCAUCACACUAAAUUGUUUUAGUUUUGUCAUAUGACUCUAGGAUGAAUGCUCUGUAACUUUUUAGGACAGAGGAAAGGAAAGAAGGAACGAUCUUGGAGUGGUGGUACCUUACGAAAGAAGAAAAUCCUGGCUACAGAUUAUUCUGAGUAAUGGUAUUUCUGACUUUGCCGAGAUGAUAUCCAGAGGGAACCACCAUUCUGCUUAUGUGUAAUAGCACAGGACGCGCAGGCUCAGCAGCCAUGGCUCACGGGCCUAGCCGCUCCGCGGCAUGUGGGAUCUUCCCGGACCAGGGCACGAACCGCGUUCCCUGCAUCAGCAGGCAAACUCUCAACCACUGCGCCACCAGGGAAGCCCAGGAUUACUGUUUUAAUACAGUGUCUAUUUACAUUCUCCAAAAGAGGAUUAGAGGAUUCCUCAUAACAAUUUAGGAAAUGCUACCUAUGCCAUGCCGUUAUUGCUAAGUGCUACAGAAAGUAAUUAUUUACACAUAAUCCCUACAAUUAACAUUAUGCAGCACUGAUGCUGAAACACAGGAUAAUCAACCCGUGGCAAACAUCACCUGUCAUUCUAAAGCUCAGCCAUGAGCUGUGCAUCUGAAAAUGCAGACUGAGGAUUCAUGAAUGACAAAAACCUAGUACCUGUCCUGGAGGAGCCCAAGUCAAAGCGUCCAACAGGGCCUGUGCUUCAGUGGGGAAUAUGAGAUGAACACACGUCUCAGCUCCCAAGAGCACGCACUCUAGAGGGGCAGGCGAAUCGUGAACACGGACACUUUGUGCAGAGCAAGCUAAGAGCCCAUAGUGGCUGUUGGAACAGGUGGGCUUCUUUUUCUGAGAGUAGAGCAGGACGUUAUGUUAGAAUUUGAUUUUGGAGAAGGAGGAGGAAGGUACUAAAAGCAGAGAGCAGAGGGACUUCCCUGGUGGCACAGUGGUUAAGAAUCUGCCUGCCAAGGCAGGGGACAUGGGUUAGACCCCCGGUCCGGGAAGAUCCCACAUGCCACGGAGCAACUAAGCCCGUGCACCACAACUACUGAAGUCUGCGCGCCUAGAGCCGGUGCUCCACAACAAGAGAAGCCACCGCAAUGAGAAGCACAGGCACCGCAACGAAGAGUGGCACCCGCUCGCGGCAACUAGAGAAAGCCCAUGCACAGCAACGAAGACCCAACACAGCCAAAAAAAUAAAUAAAUAAAAUAAAUAAAUUUAUUUUUUAAAAAAGAGCAAGAGUAAGUGCAAAGCCAUGUAGCUGUGAAAGAAACUGAUGCGUUCAGGGAUGGCGACAAGUCAUGUGUGGUAGGAAAAGCAGAGCACAGGCACAGGAGCCGAGGCUGCAGAGGAGAGCAGGGACAGAUCAUGAGGGCUCUUACAUUGAGGAGCUCGGAACGUGAUGGGUAGACAAAGAGGCACAAACCGUAAGAAAUGUUUAAGCCCAGGAGUUCCACAGUCACAUUUGCAUUUUAAUAGAUCACUGAAGAAGCAGUGAGAACGAUUACAAAGGGCGAGAACAAAGGUAGGGGACCACUUAGAAGGCUACAGCAAUGACUUGACACAAGUAAUAUGAAAGCAUUUUCAUUCUCAAAAAUUUAAAUGUUACAGAAGCUCUUCCAGGAACAACACAUUAUCCUACUAAUGGAUAUUUAGGCUGUUACUAAUUUUCUUAUUAUAAACUAUGAACAUGCUUGUACAGAUAGUUGUUCAAUAAAUUGCUUAUGAAAAACACUGUGUCUUUAAAAAGCUAGAUAACCAUCAUCUUGUCAUGGCUAAACUGAUUUUUCCAGGAGUUAAGGGAUGUAUAAGAUGGUAAGGUAACUCUUUAAGAUUACUUCAGGACUGAGACCAGGAUUAUGGAGAACAAUACUCAGUCCAUCAGAAUCCAGUUUGAUGUAGGGAAGAACUCUCACAGCUCUGAUUCUGGUCUGAAUGCUUGUGUCUUCCUCAAAUUCAUAUGUUUAAAUCCUGACCCCCAAUGUGAUGAUAUUAGGAGGCUGGGCCUUUGGGAGGUGAUUAGGUCUUGAGGAUGGAGCCCUCAUGAAUGGGAUUAGUGUCCUUAUGAAAGGGACUGCAGAGCUCUCUUGCCCUUUCCACCAUGUGAGGGCACAGCAAGAAAGAAGCUGGUGUCUAUGAACCAGGAAGAGAGCUCUCACCAGACACUGAAUCUUGGACUUCCAGCCUCUAGAACUGUGAGAAAUAAAUGUUUGUUGUUUAAGCCACCCAGUCUAUGGUAUUUUUGUUAUAGCAGUCCAGACAGACUAAGACAGCUCUCAUGGACAUGCUUGGGAAGCAAAGGUGAAUAGGAUGAAAAUGUGAUUUAUUUUUCCUCUGAGGCCUGGACCUAAAGAAGAAGCUGGUGACAAAGGGGAGAAAUUGGGCUGAAUGGAAGAGACUUUUCAGAGCUCACACAUGAAGCUGAUGGACCACGCAGCACCCAGGAGGUAAUGUCCCACUGGGUCCUGGAAGGUCAUUUGGACAUUUGAGGCUUAAAACAAGUACUCUCCACUUUUCCCUCUCUGUGGCAACUCUCUUCCUAGUGGCUUCUUGUUAACACUCGAAACAACUGAAACCCUUCCAAGGUCUGGGUCAGGUUUGUUUGGGGUCACAUCUUCCUCAGUUUCUGUACCUAACAGAUCGGUGUUAAUUCUUUGCUGAAAGCCCUGCAAGGAUCAAGAUUUCCCAGUAUCUUCCCUGUAGACUCAUCUCAGGGUCUCCCAUACUUUCAUAGUCAGGGAGACACCCCAUGUCUCCCACCUAAAGCUGAGCUCAGGGUUCUUUGUUCAGAUUUUAGAAACAAGGAUGAGGACAGGAGGUCAGUUGUGAUAUUAGAGUUAUGGCAUCACAGGAGGCUGGAACUCAAGAUGGGCAGAGAAGCUUUUGAGCACUGCUCUAGGCUAAACUGUCUGAAGCUCUGAGUAUGUGCAGAUUUAAUAAUGGUUAGUUCUUUAGUCAUAUAGUAAAAAAUUAUUUCACUCGAGAGAACAAAGGAUUCCUAGGAAGUGUCUUAAAACUGUAGUGGUGGAUCCAUUUUUGAAUUCUCUUUUCUGCCCUUUUUUUUUUUUAAAGUUUUUUUUGUUGUAGACCAUCUUCAAAGUCUUUAUUGAAUUUGUCACAAUAUUGCUCCUGUUCUAUGCCUUGGUUCCUUGACCCUGAGGCUCCCAGCUCCCCAACCAGGCAUCCAACCCUCACCCCCCCACACUAGAAGGUGAAGUCCCAACCACUGGACUGCCAGGGACGUCCCUUUCCUCACUUCUUAAGCUACACACAAGUGAUGUGAAAGCACGACACAGGCAUAAGUUGGGGAGAUGUGGCUGGAACCUCUUUGACCUGGGACCAAGCAACACUUAAGUAUGAAAUUUUCCUCGUCAUGGAUACUUGAAACAAAUGCCUUCCUUCUUGGUCCUCAUUGCUAAAGAAUUAUGGCUAUAGGGACUAUAAUUACCAUCUGGCCCACAUCUCCUGCCAGAUCUUCCUUACAGCCAGUCUGUGCCAACUAUAACAACCUUUUGUAAGAAGGAGGUUCCACAAACGCUGAGGAAAACUGUUUCAAAUGACUAACAGCCCACACUUAAAGAAAAUUUCAUUUCCUCCAAUUUGCAGAAGGGAAAAGUCACAGGAAAGCACAUGACAUGGUCAAAGUAGAUUCAGCCAAAGAGGUUUUUACCUACCUGCAGCUCUGUUAUUAAGUUUGGAUCAUGGAUGGGUCCCUCUAAGGCCCUCCCUUGUCUUAUCCCAUUUUCUCUCUACUGUUGGAGAAGAGAAGAGCCCAGUCCUCUUGACUGUGUUUCAGGUGUGUGUUCUCACGUCUCCAAAUAGAUUGGGAGAUUUGGGAUAGCAGAGACCACACUGUUUCAGCUCAGCCACUAACUUGUUGGAUAAUUUUUUUUUUUGGCAGUACAUGGGCCUCUCACUGUUGUGGCCUCUCCCGUUGUGGAGCACAGGCUCCGGAUGCACAGGCUUAGCGGCCAUGGCCCACGGGCCCAGCCACUCCGCGGCAUGUGGGAUCCUCCCGGACCAGGGCACAAACCCGCGUCCCCUGCAUUGGCAGGCGGACUCUCAACCACUGCGCCACCAGGGAAGCCCUUUUUUUCUUUUUUAAUUUGGGUAAUUCUUUAAGAUUAAGGCUGCUAGAACAUAGGAUAGAGAAAUGCUGUAGCCACAGGAUUUCAGCCGAAUCUCUUUUGUAACAGCCUUUCAAAUUAGGUGGAGAAAUAUAAGCUGGGUGAGAAUGGAGGGACUCCACCACACCAAACGGUUCUGAUUGAUUGGAUACAUGUGAAUCCAGAGGGAAGACUCUACCAGGCUCUGUCCUGGUCAAAAUUUUGCCCAUGACUUGAAUGAGUACAGGUGACAACCUGAUGAAUCUGCAAAGGACAUGAAGCCAAACUGGUGGCCUAUGGGUCGACUCUGGUCACAAACACUUUUUGUUUUGAU